rnacentral:tRNA from 1 species
UAGAAAAUAAUUUAAUGGUAAAAUAAAGAAAUUUGACUUCUUCUAUAUAAGUUCAACCCUUAUUUUUCUAA